UUACAGUCACACCAUGUUGAAACAUCAGUUCCUGUAUGAUCACCAAAGUUAAGCAAUGUUGAGCCAGGUCAGUACCUAGAUGGGUGACCACAUGGGAAAGGUUGGA